CCACAGUGGUGGAGACUUGGGCAGCAAGUGGUCCUCAGAAUGUCCAGUCCAGGUGGCACGUGGCUUCUUCCUGGGCAUGCCAGGAGCCCUGGAUGCUCCACUCAAGUGUGUCCAGCUCACAGCUGGAAAAAUCGUCUCCCAGAAUGUCCUUCCAUGCUCCACUUAAGACUCAACCCCUCUACAUUGCAAAGCCACAUGCCCUCUCUUGAUCUGAUCUGUUCAAACCAAUAUUGAGUUGACUGUGGGUUUCAGUUCCUUCCAAGACACUGCCAUGAGCCCAAUAUUUUAGCCCUUGGGAAAGAUAUGUUCCUGGCUCACACAUACGACCUUACAUACACAGCACCCCACAGACUCACUGUACAUACACACAUGGCCCAGGCUCUUGGCAUACUGGCAUAGAUCUUCAGGGCGCAUUUUUCCAAAGGAGUGACCUGACCUCAGGAAGUACUUGGUAUCCAGAGAAUACUUCCAGAAACUCUAUCAGCAGGAAGCAGGGCACAACCCCUAAAGUGCAGUAAAGGACAGGACAGUGUAGAGUGACGGGUACUGCAGCAAUGAUACAUGCUUCCAGUAUAUUGCAUGGGCUAGAAGCUAAAAAAAGGCCAUCCCCUAGACUUGCGUGCAGCUAGCAAUCCAGUUGCAAUUUAGGUUCUGCACUCAAAGUCCCCUUCCUCAGGGGACCUGAAUUUGAGAUGUAUUAACCAGUACAGACUGCUUACAGCAUCUGUUUCACUGAUGCAGGUUUUAGUAGGUCCACGUGGCUCUGGGGCCAAAGGUUUCGAGAGUGGUCUCCCAUCAUCCGAUGGCAGUUAGGAUACCGUGUCCUAGUGAAACAGUGGUGGUGGGGACUUUCUGGUCUGCAGACUGUGAGUGUGGAGAUGUGGCCCUGAAGAAAGGAUGGGGGCAGCAGCUCCCCAGGGGAAGCCAGGGUACCCUUGCCAAGUCCCACUCUACUGCUCAGGGAGCCAAGCUGUGCCUGCUUCUCCAGCCUUCCAACAGUUCUGUGAACAUCUAAGCCCCUGUGUGGAACCAACAUCUGCUUGGCACCUAGGAGGCAUUUAUUGCUGUCAUCUGAACAUCAUAAAUAAUAAUAAAUACUUACUGGCACAGUAGUUGAUGACACAAAUGAUGCAGGCGACUGCACUCAAGUCUUGCCACUGGGGCUUGGUCAUCUGACCACAUUGCAUUGGUGACGUGGGAUGCUGGAGCCUAUGGCCCCGUGUGGAGAUGCAGUCAUGCUAGUAUCACCUGCCAUGACCUGGGAUGUGUCUAUCUGGUGAAGGACGGCUGUCGCAGCAACACAUCAAGGCCCAGGGAACAGGCACUUUGGAGAUGCUUGGCUGCUUCUCUCCACACUGAAGAAUUGAAAGAAAAGAAACAAAAGGCUGAGAGCUUUACCUCCUUGGCUCACUCACGGACACAAAGUGGUUUUACGAUGGCUCUAAGUUUUCUCCACAGCCCCUGGAUGCUUCAGCACAGGCUCACAUUCACAGCACGGCCCGACGGCCUCCACAGAAGUCGAAUUGUUGGUUGGGAAAGAGUGGGACCCAGUCCUGGGGUUGGUGACAUUUGGUAGCACUGGUGUAAGUCCAGUUUCACAGAACACCAGGACAUCACAGAGCCUCCCACGCCUAGUGAUGCUGACACCAGUGCCUGACGUGUGAUUGAUGGAGAUCCUGCCCUGUGCCACCAUCAUGGGUACAAAUACAGAUAAAACACCACAGUCUCUAAUCUCCCAGAUGUAUCACCUACAAGGAGAACUGGAUGUGCUUGUAGAGAAACAGAAACAAAGCGCUGUUGGAAAUCACAGCCGUUAACCAAUUUGGGCUGAUGUGGGGGUUGGAUUUGGGAUUUGGAGACCGUACUACUGAGGAGGGUUUUCAUAAAGACAGUAAUAUUCGUUCCAGCUUUUGAAAGUGAGCAAGGAAUUCUCAGGUUAGUGGAUGGAAAAACGUCUGAGUACAGAACAGAAUGACAGUUUUGGAGAAUGGCACAUACUUCAAUACAGCUGGAUCCCAAAUUUCCCUGGGAAAGUCAGAAGGAAAUUAGUCUAAAAAGCAGGCCAAGAGUGGUGGUUCACGCCUGUAAUCCCAGCGCUCUGGGAGGCCAAGCUGGGUGGAUCACCUGAGGUCAAGAGUUCGAGACCAGCCUGGCCAACACAGUGAAACCCCAGCUCUACUGAAAAUACAAAACUUAGCCGGGCAUGGUGAUGCAGAACUGUAAUCCCAGCUACUCAGGAAGCUGAAGCAGGAGAAUCACUUGAACCCAGGAGAUGGAGGUUGCAGUGAGCCGAGAUCAUGCCACUGCCCUCCAGCCUGGGCCACAGAGCGAGACUCCAUCUCAAAAAAAAAAAAA
rnacentral:lncRNA from 1 species